rnacentral:lncRNA from 1 species
AUAAGGGGUGAACUUAAAGAUUUGUUUUAUACUGUCAGGUUUGAGGUAACGGUAGGUUAUACUUUGUGUAUAAUGUAUUAAGGGGAGAUAAUCAAUCCAAAUGACUUCAUAGGGGGUGAACAAAAAGAUUUGUUUUAUACUGUCAGGUUUGAGGUAACAGUAGGUUAUAAUUUGUGUAUAAUGUAUUAAGGGGAGAUAAUCAAUCCAAAUGACUUCAUAAGGGGUGAAC